AUGGGCCCUGUUGUGGUAGACCCACAUGUCAUCGGUGUAACUAUUUACACUCCAAAGGACGGUAUAUCCCGCAGACGCAAAUGCGCUGGCCUUCAUGAUUCCAGGACCUGGAAUCAUACCAGCCGCUGGUCGAAGAAGGAUUGGCCGGUGCUGCCGGCUGGCAUCAAGUUCGAUCCCACGGAUCAGGAGCUGAUCGAGCACCUUGAGGCCAAAGUGAGUGCUGAUAGCGCGAGAUUUCAGUCUCUCAUCGAUUUGUUCAUACCAACCAUUGACAGCGAGCACGACAUAUGCUACACCCAACCUGAGAAACUUCCAGGUAUCACACUGAGUGGCCUAAGGAAGCAUUUCUUCCAGCGCAAUUCCAGGGCGUUCAAAAGGGGCACGUGGACGCGUCUCAAGAUACAAUCGGAGUGCGGCAUGCACGCGAUGUGGCACAAGACCGGCAAUACCUUGCCGGUGAUGGUCAACGGCCGGCAGACGGGCAACAAAAAAGGUUCUGGUGCUGCACACCAACAAGAACUUCGACCAGCAGAGGACCAACUGGGUGAUGCACCAGUACCACCUCGGGGACCUGGAGCAAGAGAAGGAGCGGGAGCUGGUCCUUUGCAAGAUUUUCUACCAGACGAACACUAG
rnacentral:rRNA from 1 species